rnacentral:tRNA from 1 species
UGGCGCAGCUUGGUAGCGCGCUUGACUGGGGGUCAAGAGGUCGUGGGUUCAAAUCCCGC